CCUACGGGAGGCAGCAGUGAGGAAUAUUGGUCAAUGGACGCAAGUCUGAACCAGCCAUGCCGCGUGCAUGAAGACGGCCCUAUGAGUUGUAAACUGUUUCUGCACGAGGGUAAACGCAGAUACGUGUAACCGUCUCAAAGUAUCGCACGAAGAAGGAACGGCUAAUGCCGGGCCAGCAGCCGCGGUAAUACGGAGGAUUCAAGUGUUACCCGGAUUUAGUGGGUUUAAAGGGAGCGGAGGCGGUCGGGUAAGUUAGAGGUGAAAUCCCGGGGCUCAACUUCGGAAUUGCCUUUGAUACUGUUCGGCUAGAGAGUAGUUGCGGUAGGCGGAAUGUAUGGUGUAGCGGUGAAAUGCGUAGAGAUCAGGCAGAACACCGGUGGCGAAGGCAGCCUGCCGGGCUACUUCUGACGUUGAGGCACGAAAGCGUGGGGAGCAAACAGGAUUAGAUACCCGUGUAGUC
rnacentral:rRNA from 1 species